rnacentral:lncRNA from 1 species
AUCUGGUUCCAGUGACAAUGAAGACUGAGGUGUCUGCUUUGCAGUUUUUUUUUUUCUUUUCUUGUCUUUUUUUUUUUUUUUCCUAAUCAUGUGGACAUCUCUGAGAAUGAGGGGACUGGGUGACUUUGCAGUGUCUGCUUUCUAAGUUUCAAAGUGACUUUCCAGGCAAGCUGCGCAUAUCUUGGGAUCUUCACAGCACAGUGGCUGGGAAGGCAGGCGGACCCGUCUAUCAGCUUCUCCCUGGUCACAGAAUUGUGGGUGAUGAGUUCUUUGUUCUAGAACUUCCUGUGUAAUGAAACUGCCAUCCAUAAUUGUUUUCCUGUGGACUGCUUAUUAAAAGAAGUGAUUUUUGAUGAACUAAACUAGGUGGGAUUCUUGCGGGGGCAGGGAUCGAGUCAAACCUUGGAAAUGACGUCAUUCUGAACUCAUCUGCCUUUAUCCAGAAGACUACCAAAGCAAACCAGAGGACCAGAGAACAGCAGCUGCUCUGGACAAAGAGGGGAGGACACCCACACCCACAUACCAAGUUCUGGUUGACUUCUACAGCAGAAGAAGCAGGAGACACAAGAAGUCUCCUCAGAAGAACAUUGACCAGCACGCCUGCAUCCUUUCUGUUCUGACACACUUGUUACCUGGAUGACUUCUUUCUCAUCACCCACGUGCCAAGAGUGCCAUGUCUCAUCUGGACCAGAGACUCUGAGGAUCACACCAACAGAGACACAAAUGACACUUAAAGAAAGCCACAUCAGCUUUUACAACUUACCCCCCAAUACCGAAUGUCAUCAACUCAAUUUAAAUCAUUGGAUGGUUCUGUUCUCAGGGCCAGAGAGUUUCACUAAACUUCGUCGAACCCUUCGGUA